CUUGCUCUUAUGAAGUUAGCGGCGGACGGGUGAGUAACACGUGGGUAACCUGCCCAUAAGACUGGGAUAACUCCGGGAAACCGGGGCUAAUACCGGAUAACAUUUUGAACCGCAUGGUUCGAAAUUGAAAGGCGGCUUCGGCUGUCACUUAUGGAUGGACCCGCGUCGCAUUAGCUAGUUGGUGAGGUAACGGCUCACCAAGGCAACGAUGCGUAGCCGACCUGAGAGGGUGAUCGGCCACACUGGGACUGAGACACGGCCCAGACUCCUACGGGAGGCAGCAGUAGGGAAUCUUCCGCAAUGGACGAAAGUCUGACGGAGCAACGCCGCGUGAGUGAUGAAGGCUUUCGGGUCGUAAAACUCUGUUGUUAGGGAAGAACAAGUGCUAGUUGAAUAAGCUGGCACCUUGACGGGACCUAACCAGAAAGCCACGGCUAACUACGUGCCAGCAGCCGCGGUAAUACCUAGGUGGGAAGCGUUAUCCGGAAUUAUUGGGCCUAAAGCU
rnacentral:rRNA from 1 species